rnacentral:rRNA from 1 species
GACGAACGCUGGCGGCGUGCUUAACACAUGCAAGUCGUACGGUAAGGCCCUUUCGGGGGUACACGAGUGGCGCACGGGUGAGUAACACGUGAGUAACCUGCCCACAACUUUGGGAUAACGCUAGGAAACUGGUGCUAAUACUGGAUAUGUGCUCCUGCUGCAUGGUGGGGGUUGGAAAGCUCCGGCGGUUGUGGAUGGACUCGCGGCCUAUCAGCUUGUUGGUGGGGUAGUGGCCUACCAAGGCGGCGACGGGUAGCCGGCCUGAGAGGGUGACCGGCCACAUUGGGACUGAGAUACGGCCCAGACUCCUACGGGAGGCAGCAGUGGGGAAUAUUGCACAAUGGGCGCAAGCCUGAUGCAGCAACGCCGCGUGCGGGAUGACGGCCUUCGGGUUGUAAACCGCUUUCGCCUGUGACGAAGCGUGAGUGACGGUAAUGGGUAAAGAAGCACCGGCUAACUACGUG